AUACGUAGGGUGCGAGCGUUGUCUGGAAUUACUGGGCGUAAAGAGCUCGUAGGUGGUUUGUCGCGUCGUCUGUGAAAUUCCGGGGCUUAACUCCGGGCGUGCAGGCGAUACGGGCAUAACUUGAGUACUGUAGGGGAGACUGGAAUUCCUGGUGUAGCGGUGAAAUGCGCAGAUAUCAGGAGGAACACCGGUGGCGAAGGCGGGUCUCUGGGCAGUAACUGACGCUGAGGAGCGAAAGCAUGGGUAGCGAACAGGAUUAGAUACCCUGGUAGUCCAUGCCGUAAACGGUGGGCGCUAGGUGUAGGGGUCUUCCACGACUUCUGUGCCGUAGCUAACGCAUUAAGCGCCCCGCCUGGGGAGUACGGCCGCAAGGCUAAAACUCAAAUGAAUUGACGGG
rnacentral:rRNA from 1 species